rnacentral:rRNA from 1 species
GACGAACGCUGGCGGCGUGCUUAACACAUGCAAGUCGAACGGAAAGGCCCUGCUUUUGUGGGGUGCUCGAGUGGCGAACGGGUGAGUAACACGUGAGUAACCUGCCCUUGACUUUGGGAUAACUUCAGGAAACUGGGGCUAAUACCGGAUAGGAGCUCCUGCUGCAUGGUGGGGGUUGGAAAGUUUCGGCGGUUGGGGAUGGACUCGCGGCAUAUCAGCUUGUUGGUGGGGUAGUGGCUUACCAAGGCUUUGACGGGUAGCCGGCCUGAGAGGGUGACCGGCAACAUUGGGACUGAGAUACGGCCCAGACUCCUACGGGAGGCAGCAGUGGGGAAUAUUGCACAAUGGGCGGAAGCCUGAUGCAGCAACGCGGCGUGCGGGAUGACGGCCUUCGGGUUGUAAACCGCUUUCGCCUGUGACGAAGCGUGAGUGACGGUAAUGGUAAAGAAGCACCGGCUAACUACGUG